rnacentral:lncRNA from 1 species
GUUUUGAGAGGUGGCCAGUAUUCUCAACAGCUUCAUCUAGAACCUCUUUUGCCUUUUCUACCCUUCCCAAAACCUGAAACCAGUUUAUAUACUAUUACUUAGAGUAAACCAUAACAUAACUGUACAAGUGAAGAAUAAUAUAUAUAUAUAUAUAUAUGUGUGUGUGUGUGUGUGUGUGUGUGUAUACAUACCAAGUAUAGAAAUCGAGAAUAUUGUGCAAACAAAAAGGGCAGAAUCUGUGAAUGCUCUUUCCCUUUCUCAAUUGCAAUAGUCUGCUCAUACAAUGAACAAGCGUCUUCCAGAUUUCCC